AGUCCUGUCACUCCAAAGGAGCUACUGUUUACAGAUGCCACAGUGACACCGCACCUCAUGGCACUGCUUAGCAGGUUCCACUAUAUCCAGGAGUACAUCUGUCGGAUCGUCUCACACUGCUGUAAAGGGGCCAGAUCAUCAAACAAUUUUAUUUAGCUGUGGUGCAGUUAAGAAUAUUGCUCACCUACUAACCUCAUUCUUCUACAAAGUUCAAAUGCAAGCACUGAAAUGUUUCUCAGUUUUACCCUGGUAAAUGUUUUGGUUGAUGGAGAAUUGUUAUCACAGAUUUUUGUGAUGAUGUUACAGAGGGAUAAGCAUAUUGAGAUGCAGCUUACAUCAGCAAAAUGUUUAACUUACACUUAUACAGCUGUAGCAAUUCAGACAGAUAACAAAUGUAUUAAAGACAUUGCCUUAUUUGGUUCAAAUGUGCAGUAAGAAGAGAUUACUAGAGGAGAGAGUUAAAGGAGCUGAGACACUCGCUUAUCUGACUGAACCAGAUAUUGAGCUACAGAGAAUCCCUAGCGUAACUGAUCACCUCAUUGCCAUGUUUGCUGACUAUUUCAAGUAUCCCAACUCAUUGAGUGCCAUCACUGAUAUUAAAAGGCUUGAUCAUGAUUUAAAACAUGCUCAUGAACUCUGCCAGGCUGCAUUCAAUCUCUACGACUCUCUUAGAGCAAAUGAUGAAGACAUUCAGAAGAAAAGCCCUGAGACUGAAACUAUGAUGGACUGAAUUGUGACUGGCUUGUCUGAGUCUAGUGUCAAGGUGCGGUUACCUGGUUACCUGCUGUCAGAUGUUUGCACCGUUUAUCCAGAUCUGUGCAGCAGCUUCAAAACAGUUUCUAGGAUCACACUCGGUGAAAACCUUUAAUGAAGGUUUUACAAAAUGCACCAGAUGAAAUCCUAGUAGUAGCAUCUUCCACGGUAUAUAAUCUUCUUGAAUUUUCUCCAAGGAAAGAGUCAAUUUUAAAAUCAGGAGUUGUAAAUCUACUUUGUGGAUUAACCCAGAGUGAAAAUCCUGCUUUACGAGUGAGCAGAAUUUGGGCUUUAAUGAAUAUGGCAUUUCAGGCUGAACAAAAAAUAAAACCAGACAUGUUACAAAGCUUGAGUACUGAACGGCUAUUCUGGUUAUUAUCAGAUUCAGAUUUGAAUGUGCUGAUGAAGACACUGGGACUUCUCAGAAAUCUCCUCUUGACCUGGCUUCAUAUAAUAAAAUGAGUACUUAUGGAAAGCAAAUUAUGCAAGCUGUCAUCCUUAUCCUGGAAGGGGAACAUAACUUUAAGGUCAAAGAGUAGAUACUGUGCAUCUUAGCCAAUAUAGAAGAUGAGACAACAGCAAAAGAAUGUAUUAUGACCAAUGAUGAUAUCCUUCAGAAAAUCAAAUAUUACAUGGACCAUUCACAUGUCAAACUGCAGCUUCCAGCUAUUUUUUGUAUAUCAAACCUCAUACGGAAUGAAGAGGAAGGUUCACAAGAAUGCCAGGGUAAAUUAUGAGACAUUGGCAUCAUAGAUAUUCUACAUAAACUGAGUCAGUCACCAGAUUCAGACCUUUGUGACAAGGCAAAGAUGGCACUGCAGCAGUACCUGGCAUGAUGAGAGUGCCCCUAGGCACCUGUGAGCAUCCUACAUCCUUGUUUAAGAAAGCACAGGUGGCUCAUGCCUGUAAUCUCAGCACUUUGGGAGGGUGA